rnacentral:lncRNA from 10 species
CUGACCGUCAACUAGAGCCCUUGCUGUGGCCUGUGACUGAUGCCUGGCCCAUGAGACACGUGAGCCGCAGCCAUGCAACCCCAUGGGAUGAAAAAUUCGAGAUGUGUGUUCACUGCAGCUCCAGGUAGAUGGCACGAGACCAGGAACACAGGUUCCCUUGAGUCAGAGCAUGGAGAGUACAAGAGCAGCCGUCCCACAGCCUGGCUGGGCAGUCAACUGUGGCAGCCCUCACCCUCGGGGCCCGGCCCAUCCACUGAGGGGACCUGCAAGAUGCAACUCCUGUUCUAGGCUUCACUUGGCAUCUGGAAUAAACACACACGUAGCUGCUUCUCUUAUGUCACCACUAUGGAAAGCCAAAGGCUGAGUCCUGGAGUGUCCGCGCCAGCAGCAGGUCAUGGAGUUCUUCUGGGUCCACGAUGGCCCUGCUGAAAUACUGAAAAAGGAAGGCAGAUCCAACGGUUGUAACUCAAACAGGCCCCUUAAAACUGCCAGGACUGGGCUUGGACUAAGCAAGCAAUUUUUGAGCACCGACUGUAUGCUAGUAACGGAUGGCUCUGUCCUCAAGAUGAGACUCUCACAGGAGAGAGGAUUAAUUCCACGUCAUUCCGACUGCACUGAUGAGCCCUGGAACAGCAGUGUAGACACAAGACCAAGUAAGGGGCCGAGUCCAACUACUGAGAGGCCAGGGAGGCCUCCUGGGGUGGUGGUGGAGACUGAGCCUGGACAGUCGGAAGGGUCUGCCCGUGACCCGGGCCACAGAGCAAGAGCACAGACAGAGUGCAGCUGGCGGACGCUCAGCUCCAUCUUCUGAGAGCCCUGGGCUGAAGUGCCGGGGACCAGGCCCGACGGGGUCAGUCCUGUGUCUCAGAGUCAGCCCCGUUCACUGGGCUCACUGUCAGGCUCAGCCCCAGGACCACCUCCUGGGGAACACCUUCCCUGACCCCGCCUUGUUCAGAGGCCCCACAGACUACUUCAUAAACUGAAUACACCUCCUGCCUCUGACCUGGAAGGUGAUCCUGAGGAUGACAUCACGCCGCUUUCCACAUGAGUCCGCACCGUGCAGCUCAGAAUACACUCACACCACGUCCGUGAGUAAGUAGAUGAGGCCAUUGUUCCACAACAGAGCACUUCCUUGCCGAAAUGGUCACCCUUCACAGCAGUGGUUUUUAGACACACAGAACCAGCCCUUCGAGAGGCCAUGCGUUCAUCCAGUGUGUAAAACAGAUAAAGGCAGAAGUCUCCCGGCGGACUGGGCAUGAGGAUGCCCCGCUGUGGACGCCAACAGCACCACUGGGCAGUGCCUGUGUCUCCGAGGAGCUGAAAACCUGGACUCUAAAGAGUCCUCACUGUAACAGAUCAGCAGCUGCCCUUCUCCUGACAGCACAUUUCUCAUUUCCUGGUAAGGAGAGCAGAGUUCUGAUGUGAAAGGCCACAGCGGCUGUAACUCAGGACUGGUCCUCCAGCGCCGCUGUAAUUUGUCAGGGUCCUCCUCCAUGAUUUCCUCGAUAACUCCUCACCACCAUCAUCUAAUUGCUGAUUUCUAACAUAUAUUUAGAAACAAUGUUCAUUACAGUAAAUUAAAUGGGACAAGAAUGAAAUUUG